UCGAUUAGCAUGCGAGUCCAGAGCUUUCGGAGCUCGGCGUACCGCUCAGUAACACGUGGGUAACUUUUUACUGAGGGCCGAUAAUUUCGGGAAACUGAGUAUAAUGCCCUCUUUUAAGGUACGCCUGGAACUGUGAGUGGAUCAAAGCUCAGGCGGCAUAGGAUGGGCCUGCGGCGUAUCAGGUUGUAGGGCUUGUAAAGUACCCUCUAGCCAUCUACGCGUACGGGUGUUGGGAGACAUAGCCCGGAGAUGGAUUCUGAGACACGAAUCCAGACCCUACGGGGUGCAGCAGGCGCGAAAACUUGACAAUGCGAGCAAUCGUGAUCAGGGAACUCCAAGUGGCUGGGGUAAGACCCAGUCUUUUCAUAACUCUUCAAAGGUUGUAGAAUAAGGGGUGGGUAAGGACGGUGCCAGCCGCCGCGGUAAUACCGGCGUCUUUUUUGGUAGUCGCUUUUAUUGGGCCUAAAACGUCCGUAGCCGGUUUGGUACAUUCGUGGGUAAAUCAACUCGCUCAACGAGUUGAAUUCUGCGAGGACGGCCAGACUUGGGACCGGGAGAGGUGUGGGGUACUCUCAGGGUAGGGGUAAAAUCCUGUCAUCCUGAGAGGACCGCCUGUUGCGAAGGCGCCACACUAGAACGGAUCCGACGGUCAGGGACGAAGCCUAGGGGCACGAACCGGAUUAGAUACCCGGGUAGUCCUAGGUGUAAACGCUGUGGACUUGAUGUUGGAGAAGCUCCGAGCUUCUUCAGUGUCGAAGCGAAGGUGAUAAGUCCACUGGCUGGGAAGUACGGUCGCAAGGGUGAAACUCAAAGGGAUUGACGG
rnacentral:rRNA from 1 species